GACCAAAGCAUAAUCAUUACCAUUGGACCUCGGCUUCUUCACACCCAUUCAGCAUUCAAGCCUCGCAGGUUCGGUUUCCCAACCACCUCGGCUUCUUCAGAUGCCAUUCAGCAUUCAAGCCUUGCAGGUUCGGUUCCUCACACCACCUCGGCUUCUUCACACCCAUUCAGCAUUCAAGCCUCGCAGGUUCGGUUUCCCAACCACCUCUGCUUCUUCA
rnacentral:lncRNA from 1 species